CCCGCCCCCCACCGAUCUCUGCAGGCACGAGGGUGGCUUGAGGCAGCUGAAAGGGCGCGCGUGUUGGUGGUGAGUCUCGUGGUGACAGCUGUCACCUCCAGCGCCUUACACAACAACAACAACAACUCAGCAACAACAACAACAACAGGGUCGUAGGCGUUACGUUGGGCUAGAGUGGAGCCAGAGAGAGAGGGAGAUUGUUGCAAACCAUCGCUGAUAGCCGUCUCCCUGAUAGCAGUCGCAGGGAGAGACGGACAGACUGCGAGUGGAGUCUUCGGCCUUGGUGAUCGUCGCUGACGACGUCAUCCCCGACGUCAUCUCUGACGUCAUCUCUGACGUCAUCGCCGCCGUCAUCUCUGACGUCAUCUCUGACGUCGUCGCCGCCGGCGUCACCGUCGCUGUGGUGACAGCGACUCAAGAUGGCCGCUCUUGCGAGGCAACUGGCCGGCAGGCUGGGCCUACAAAGUGCCCCCUACUCGCGCUACUCCAACGCCAGCGGUGGGGGUCCAGCGGAGGAGGAGGAGGAGGAGGGGGAGGGGGGGGAGGAGGGAGUGGGGGGGGGCCACGAUGAAGAGGGUGGAGGGGGGAGGGGCCGCCCCCACAGCUCCCCCCAGUUCUGCCUGGAGGAGCCCCCCACCACUGUGAGCAGGAAGAGCGGCGCUGGGGGAGGCCACAGGCCGGCUUGGAGACUCAUAGGGGGGGCUGUGCUGGUCUUCAC